AGCUUCUGGACCACAAAUGGGGUGAACUACUGUAUCGAGAAAGGAGAGAGUAAGACUUGAGAGCUAUCUUUUUAGCUCAGGGUGCAGGAUUUCAUCUUGUUCUUUACUAGCUGCCAAUUAAUCACACACUUUUUAAUUUAAUCUGGGCCCUCUUCUGUCUGCCUGCCCAGUGCUGGUAGGAGUGUAUUCGUCCAAGACCUAUGGACUUCUUAUUUUUGGUUAAAUAUGUGCUCCCAGCUCUUCCUCUUCAUCUUCUUUCUGUGGGUACUAUUAUUGUUUUUGAGACAAAAUGGCAUAAUAUGCAGGGGGAUGGGUUUUGUAUAAAAUAAAACAGGGUUCAAAUCCUGGGUCUGCAUGUAGUACUUUUGGGAGCUUGGCAUGUAACUUAGUCCCUCUGAAAGUUUCCUUCCCUGUAAAAUGGGCAUAAUGAUGCCUUUUUGUCAUAGGCAUUUCAACUAGAGCAAUUCCAUCUUGAAUAGGGGCUGGGUAAAAUAGGACUGAGACCUACUGGGCUGCGUUUGGAGGAGGUUAGGCAUUCUAACUCACUGGAUGAGACAGGAGAUCAGCAUAAGAUACAGGUCACAAAGACCUUGCUGAUAAAACAGCAUGCGGUAAAGAAGGCAGUCAAAUCCCAACAAAACCAAGGUGGUGACCUUGGUCGGACUCACUGCUCAUUA
ensembl:lncRNA LAMA4-AS1 LAMA4 antisense RNA 1